rnacentral:lncRNA from 1 species
UUCCACUAUGUUUUGUCUGUUCUCAAUCCUGCUAGUCUCAGAGAAAAUGGUGAUGACCUUGAAACUUCUUCUAAUUCAAGAUGACACUGUGGAAAGGUUAAUAACCCCUGGAUCUUUGAUGACAAGGAUGAAGACUUGAACAUCACCAGUGGCCAGAAUAAAGGGAACAAGGAAACAAACUGGAGAUGAAAGACCAGUGGCCCU